rnacentral:tRNA from 1 species
GUCGGCGUUUUGAACGCUGGACACACAUCCCUGCUGGUCAGAGAGGGUGCUAGUGAGUCAUCUUGAGGGGACUGUAAAUCUGCCGGUUCUACCUUCCCAGGUUCGAAUCCUGGCGCCGCCA